rnacentral:sRNA from 1 species
GUGAUGGUGAUCUGGCCAGGACAUCUGUCACCCGACUGAUGGACAGGGGUGGUUCAGCUGGCCUAGCUGACUAGGCAGGAUUGUCUUUUUCCUCCUUCACCA